rnacentral:rRNA from 1 species
CCUACGGGCGGCUGCAGUGGGGAAUAUUGCACAAUGGGCGCAAGCCUGAUGCAGCCAUGCCGCGUGUGUGAAGAAGGCCUUCGGGUUGUAAAGCACUUUCAGCGUGGAGGAAGGCGGUGAGGUUAAUAACCUCAUCGAUUGACGUUACCCGCAGAAGAAGCACCGGCUAACUCCGUGCCAGCAGCCGCGGUAAUACGGAGGGUGCAAGCGUUAAUCGGAAUUACUGGGCGUAAAGCGCACGCAGGCGGUCUGUCAAGUCGGAUGUGAAAUCCCCGGGCUCAACCUGGGAACUGCAUUCGAAACUGGCAGGCUAGAGUCUUGUAGAGGGGGGUAGAAUUCCAGGUGUAGCGGUGAAAUGCGUAGAGAUCUGGAGGAAUACCGGUGGCGAAGGCGGCCCCCUGGACAAAGACUGACGCUCAGGUGCGAAAGCGUGGGGAGCAAACAGGAUUAGAUACCCGUGUAGUC